AACGAACGCUGGCGGCGUGCCUAACACAUGCAAGUCGAACGGGAUUCGGAGCUUGCUCCGAUGAGAGUGGCGCACGGGUGAGUAACGCGUAGAUAAUCUGCCUGAUGAUCUGGGAUAACAGUUCGAAAGGACUGCUAAUACCGGAUAAGCCCACGGAGACCCUGGUCCUUGCUGGAAAAGGGGGGGACCUUCGGGCCUUCCGUUGUCAGAUGGGUUGUCGUACCAUUAGCUAGUUGGUAGGGUAAAGGCCUACCAAGGUGACGAUGGUUAGCUGGUCUGAGAGGAUGAUCAGCCACACUGGAACUGAGACACGGUCCAGACUCCUACGGGAGGCAGCAGUGGGGAAUUUUGCGCAAUGGGGGAAACCCUGACGCAGCAACGCCGCGUGAGUGAUGAAGGCUCUUGGGUCGUAAAGCUCUGACAGAGGGAAAGAAGUGUAUGGUGGUUAAUACCCAUUGUACUUGACGGUACCCUCAAAGGAAGCACCGGCUAACUCCGUGCCAGCCGCCGCCGUAAGAC
rnacentral:rRNA from 1 species